UACGAAGGGUGCAAACGUUGCUCGGAAUUAUUGGGCGUAAAGCGCACGUAGGCGGCCCAGCAAGUCGGAAGUGAAAUCCCACGGCUCAACCAUGGAAGUGCUUUCGAAACUGCUGGGCUUGAGUACAAAAGAGGAUCGCGGAAUUCCCGGUGUAGAGGUGGAAUGCGUAGAGAUCGGGAAGAACAUCAGUGGCGAAGGCGGCCUGCUGGGCUGUUGCUGACGCUGAGGCGCGACAGCGUGGGGAGCAAACAGG
rnacentral:rRNA from 1 species